rnacentral:lncRNA from 12 species
GGGGGGGGGGGGGGGGGGGGGGGGGGGGGGGGGGGGGGGGGGGGGGGGGGGGGGGGGGGGGGGGGUCAUUUUCUCCUCAUUCCCGGCACUUUUUCCCUCAGAUUCGACACUUUUCCCCUCACACCUGGCACUUUUCCCUCACUCCCGGCACUUUUCACCCAUUUUUCCCUCACUCCCGGCACUGUUCACUCCCGCUAUUUUCCCAUCAUUUUCCCCUCACACCCGCUAUUUUUCCCUCAUUCCCAUAAUUUUCCUCUCAUUCCCGAGCCGGGGGUCAAAGGGCAGCAGCUCCUGGACAUCCCGGCAUUCCCCCAUUCCCCUCACUCCCGGUAUUUUCCCCCAUUCCCGCUGUUAGAAAUUAUCACACCGCCACUUUUCCCUCAUUCCCGGCACUUUUCACCCAUUUUUCCCUCACUCCCGGCACUGUUCACUCAUUCCCGCUAUUUUCCCAUCAUUUUCCCCUCACACCCGCUGUUUUUCCCUCAUUCCCAUAAUUUUCCUCUCAUUCCCGACAAUUUUCUCCUCACACCCAGUACCUUAAACCCCAUUUUUCUCUCACACCCAGCACUUUAAACCUCAUUUUCCCCUC